CUACGGGGGGCUCCAGUGGGGAAUAUUGCACAAUGGGCGCAAGCCUGAUGCAGCCAUGCCGCGUGUAUGAAGAAGGCCUUCGGGUUGUAAAGUACUUUCAGCGGGGAGGAAGGGAGUAAAGUUAAUACCUUUACUCAUUGACGUUACCCGCAGAAGAAGCACCGGCUAACUCCGUGCCAGCAGCCGCGGUAAUACGGAGGGUGCAAGCGUUGAUCGGAAUUACUGGGCGUAAAGCGCACGCAGGCGGUUUGUUAAGUCAGAUGUGAAAUCCCCGGGCUCAACCUGGGAACUGCAUCUGAUACUGGCAAGCUUGAGUCUCGUAGAGGGGGGUAGAAUUCCAGGUGUAGCGGUGAAAUGCGUAGAGAUCUGGAGGAAUACCGGUGGCGAAGGCGGCCCCCUGGACGAAGACUGACGCUCAGGUGCGAAAGCGUGGGGAGCAAACAGGAUUAGAUACCCUGGUAGUC
rnacentral:rRNA from 1 species